AUGGAAAGCAAACAUACCGGAGAAGGUAAAAAAAUUUCAUGGAGGGUGGCCACCAAUACCUUAGCAACAAAGGUGAACAUCUACAAGCAUACUCUAGCCACCGAGAGCACCUGCACUGCCUGCGGGAACUCGGAGGAGAAUGAAUACCAUGCAGUGGUAUCAUGUACAAAGAGUAGAGCACUCCACCAAGAAUUGAGGAAGCAAUGGAGGUUGCCGAAGGAAACUGUAUUCUAAUAUACUGGAGUGGACCGGCUCCAAAACCUACUAAGCCAAUGUGACAAGGACACACGCAAUAAAAUCCUGCUAAUGCUAUGGCGAGCCUGGUACUUGCGAGAUAACAUAGUGCAUGGGAAUGGGAAAGAGCAAGUCUCGGGUUCGGUAGCUUUUCUAAUAAAACAUGAGCAAUAA
rnacentral:rRNA from 1 species